GGUACUCAAAAGAGAGGUUUUCCCCGGCGAAUUCAUUGUUUAUGACGGAUCAUUCUUGGCCAACCUCUUUUCAGUGUC
rnacentral:pre_miRNA from 12 species